ACCCCACACACCCCACACCCCUCCUUGAAUGCCCCACACUCACCAUCCUUCGUGACAUCCUGAUGAUCGCGGGAAAGUAGGAGACAAAAAAUUCCCAUAAAUAAAGUAGACUCCCCCAACCCCCACCCAAAAUCUUAUCAUCAGGGUUGAAAUUUUGCUGUAUUUACUUCCUGACUUCUUUCUCCUCUUUCCCUCUAUUUUUUCAUUUUUCAAAACACAGAUUCGGGCACACUCUGGUGUAACCUGCUUCGCUCGUUCGCGGGAUGGGUGGUGAGCAUGGAGCCCAUUUUCCCAUGUGGCAUUUCAGCAACAGGACUUGGCUAUUUGAAACUCCCCAGACAUAGCAGGAUUUAAAAAACGGAUCCCCUCUGGCUGGGCAUUUAGGUUGCUUUCACUUCUGGGCUGCUAUAAACAGCCUGCAGUUACUGCCUCAGGACGCCUUUCUGGAAGAUUCUUCUGCAGCACACACACUGCCUCCUCUGAAGUGUCCUGGCUGCAUGUGCUGCUCUCCUUGCCCUGGGCUGCCCUCUUCUCCCUGGUGUCAUGAGUAUCUGCUGACCUUCUGCUUCUCCCAUGACAGAGUGCCUUCCUUCUCUUCCUUCUCUGCCUUGGCCUCCAGCACGUAGUAGGCGCCUAGGAAAUGUUUUCCAGCAGAACGAGCCAUCUCCUGGCUGGUUUAGCAGUGUGGGAUUGUGUGGUGUUUCUAUUAGUCUCCAUGAACAAGUGCCACUGUGUUAUUAAAUUUUUCCAAAAGCAGAA
rnacentral:lncRNA from 1 species